rnacentral:rRNA from 1 species
AAGCAUAUCAAUAAGCGGAGGAAAAGAAACUUACAAGGAAUUCCCUAGUAACGGCGAGUGAAGCGGGAUGAGCUCAAAUUUAAAAUCUGAUAGUCUUUGGCUGUCCGAGUUGUAAUCUAGAGAAGUGUUUUCCGCGUUGGACCAUGUACAAGUUUCCUGGGAACGGAACGUCAUAGAGGGUGAGAAUCCCGUCCUUGACAUGGACUACCAGUGCUUUGUGAUACACUCUCAAACGAGUCGAGUUGUUUGGGAUUGCAGCUCAAAAUGGGAGGUAAAUUCCUUCUAAAGCUAAAUAUUGGCGAGAGACCGAUAGCGAACAAGUACCGUGAGGGAAAGAUGAAAAGCACUUUGGAAAGAGAGUUAAACAGUACGUGAAAUUGUUAAAAGGGAAACGAUUGAAGUCAGUCGCGUUUACUUGGGACUCAGCCUUACCUCGGUUUGGUGCAUUUCCUUGUGAACGGGCCAGCGUCAAUGUUGUCCGUUGGAAAAGGGUUAGGGAAAUGUGGCUCUUUCGGGAGUGUUAUAGUCUCUGAUCGUAUACAACGGCUGAUAUUGAGUGGUACAGCACAU